rnacentral:tRNA from 1 species
GGGCCCUAGCUCAACUGGCAGAGCACUCGCUUCGCUAGCGAGAGGCUCCAGGUUCGAGUCCCGGGGGCGUCCA